rnacentral:misc_RNA from 1 species
GAUGAAGAACGUAGCGAAAUGCGAUACUUGGUGUGAAUUGCAGAAUCCCAUGAACCAUCGAGUCUUUGAACGCAAGUUGCGCCCGAAGCCAUUAGGCCGAGGGCACGCCUGCCUGGGUGUCACACGUCGUUGCCCCCCCAUCUACUCCUUCGGGAUUGCGGGGGGCGGAUGAUGGCCUCCCGUGCGCCUCGUCGCGCGGUUGGCAUAAAUGCCAAGUCCUCGGCGACGCACGCCACGACAAUCGGUGGUUGCGAAACCUCGGUUGCCCGUCGUGUGCGGUCGUCGCGCAUCGAGGGCUCGAAAAAAUUGCCGGGCUCCGGCUCGGCUUUCAACGCGACCCCAGGUCAGGCGGGGUUACCCGCUGAAUUUAAGCAUAUCAAUAAGCGGAGGA